rnacentral:lncRNA from 1 species
AUAUCCUAGCAUGAGAUUUAUGGGUGUGGUCCGUAUGAUCUGGCCAAUCCUCUAAGAAAGUGCAAUGCACUUAGGUAAAGAGACCCUGAAAUUUGCACAAGAUCAAAGCAAAUUAUUCCCUAUUUUGCUACGAGCAGAAGACUCAAUGUGGGCUCAAUUGAGGAGGCUAAGGAGGCUGAAAUAUGAACAGAGAAAUCAAGUUGCUGAUGCUGAGAGGAUGGGUGAAGAGAUGCAAAGAUUAACUAUGUUGCUAGUUA